UACGUAGGGGGCUAGCGUUGUCCGGAAUUAUUGGGCGUAAAGAGCGUGUAGGCGGCCGAGUAAGUCCGACGUGAAAUCUGGAGGCUCAACCUCCAGCGGUCGUUGGAAACUACUCGGCUAGAGUCCGGAAGAGGAGAGUGGAAUUCCUGGUGUAGCGGUGAAAUGCGCAGAUAUCAGGAGGAACACCCAUUGCGAAGGCAGCUCGCUGGGACGUUACUGACGCUGAGACGCGAAAGCGUGGGGAGCAAACAGG
rnacentral:rRNA from 1 species